rnacentral:rRNA from 1 species
CAGCCGCCACGGUAAUACGAAGAGGGCUAGCGCUGCUCGGAAUCACUGGGCGUAAAGGGUGCGUAGGCGGGUCUUUAAGUCAGGGGUGAAAUCCUGGAGCUCAACUCCAGAACUGCCUUUGAUACUGAAGAUCUUGAGUUCGGGAGAGGUGAGUGGAACUGCGAGUGUAGAGGUGAAAUUCGUAGAUAUUCGCAAGAACACCAGUGGCGAAGGCGGCUCACUGGCCCGAUACUGACGCUGAGGCACGAAAGCGUGGGGAGCAAACAGGAUUAGAUACCCCUGUAGUCCCUGUCUCUUAUAC